rnacentral:rRNA from 1 species
UACGGAGGGGGCGAGCGUUAUUCGGAAUUAUUGGGCGUAAAGAGCUCGUAGGCGGUCUGUCGCGUCGGCUGUGAAAACCCGGGGCUCAACCCCGGGCCUGCAGUCGAUACGGGCAGACUAGAGUGCGGUAGGGGAGACUGGAAUUCCUGGUGUAGCGGUGAAAUGCGCAGAUAUCAGGAGGAACACCGGUGGCGAAGGCGGGUCUCUGGGCCGUAACUGACGCUGAGGAGCGAAAGCAUGGGGAGCGAACAGG